GCAUCCGUAGCUCAGUUGGUAGAGCGGCCCCCCGUAAGGGGUGACGGUUGAUGCGCUGGUUCGAGUCCAGCCGGAUGCAC
rnacentral:tRNA from 1 species